rnacentral:rRNA from 1 species
AUUGAACGCUGGCGGAAUGCUUUACACAUGCAAGUCGAACGGUAGAGGGGGCAACCCCUCGAGAGUGGCGAACGGGUGAGUAAUAUAUCGGAACGUGCCCAGUCGUGGGGGAUAACGUAGCGAAAGUUACGCUAAUACCGCAUACGAUCUACGGAUGAAAGCGGGGGAUCGCAAGACCUCGCGCGAUUGGAGCGGCCGAUAUCAGAUUAGGUAGUUGGUGGGGUAAAGGCUCACCAAGCCAACGAUCUGUAGCUGGUCUGAGAGGACGACCAGCCACACUGGGACUGAGACACGGUCCAGACGCCUACGGGAGGCAGCAGUGAGGAAGUUUGGACAAUGGACGCAAGUCUGAUCCAGCCAUUGCGCGUGCAGGAUGAAGGCCCUCGGGUUGUAAACUGCUUUUGUACGGAACGAAAAGGUUUCCAUUAAUACUGGGAGCUCAUGACGGUACCGUAAGAAUAAGCACCGGCUAACUACGUGCCAGCCGCCGCAGUAA